rnacentral:rRNA from 1 species
UACCAGACUCCUACGGGAGGCAGCAGUGGGGGAUAUUGGACAAUGGGGGGAACCCUGAUCCAGCGAUGCCGCGUGAGGGAAGAAGGUUUUCGGAUUGUAAACCUCUGUGGACAGGGACGAUAAUGACGGUACCUGUCAAGAAAGCCACGGCUAACUACGUGCCAGCAGCCGCGGUAAUACGUAGGUGGCGAGCGUUGUCCGGAAUUACUGGGUGUAAAGGGAGUGUAGGCGGGAAGGCAAGUCAGAAGUGAAAACCAUGGGCUCAACCUGUGGCCUGCAUUUGAAACUGUUUUUCUUGAGUACUGGAGAGGCAGACGGAAUUCCUAGUGUAGCGGUGAAAUGCGUAGAUAUUCGGAGGAACACCGGUGGCGAAGGCGGCCAACUGGGCUUUAACUGACGCUGAGGCUCGAAAGUGUGGGGAGCAAACAGGAUUAGAUACCCCCGUA